AACGCACAUUGCGCCCCUUGGUAUUCCAUGGGGCAUGCCUGUUCGAGCGUCAUUUGUAUCUUCAAGCUUUGCUUGGUGUUGGGUGUCUGUCCUGCUCUAUGCGUGGACUCGCCUUAAAUCAAUUGGCAGCCGGUAAUCUGGUGUUGAGAGCGCAGCACAUUGUGCGCUCCUCGCUGUGUAUUGCGGCGUCCAUUAAGCCUAUAUUUCUUAGCUCUUGACCUCGGAUCAGGUAGGGAUACCCGCUGAACUUAA
rnacentral:misc_RNA from 1 species